GAAUUUCAAUAGAGCAAGUUGAUUAUAAUGCUGUUCAGGCAAAUCCCAGGAUCUGCAGUAUGAGUUCGAAAGCUGGAGACCCUGGAGAGUCAAAGGUUUAGUUCCAGUCUGAAGGCCAGGAAGCUCAAGACUCAGGAGGAGCUGCGGUUUCAGUUCAAGUCCAGAAGCAGGAAAAUUUCUCUUACUUGGGAGAAGAUUUGCCUUUUGUUCUACUCAGGCUUUCAAUUGAUUUGAUGAGACCCACCCACAUGAGGGAGGACAAUCUCCUUUCCUCAAUCUGCUGGUUUAAAUGCACUGAAACAGUCAUUGUUUUGGCAAUUCCCUUUAGUGGAGGAAAUAAAAUGAGCCAUAUUGUGGGGAAGGUGGGGCUGUGUUUCCAAGAUCAUCAGCUUAGGCAAAAAUUGUGCAAACAAGAUUCACUGUGUCCAGACUACCAACAGUUUUAUUUUUCUCCUGUCUUAUGACUCCCGUUUUUGCCUUUGUUUCCUGGCUCAUUCUACCAACUGACUCCUCAUGUGAGUAAACAAUAUGAGUGCAAAAUAAACUAAUAAGCAUGCUGCAAAAUAA
rnacentral:lncRNA from 1 species